rnacentral:misc_RNA from 1 species
AAAUGCGAUAAUUAAUGUGAAUUGCAGAAUUCAGUGAAUCAUUGAGUCUUUGAACGCACAUUGCGCCCCCUGGUAUUCCGGGGGGCAUGCCUGUCCGAGCGUCAUUGCUGCCCUCAAGCACGGCUUGUGUGUUGGGCUUCCGUCCCUGGCAACGGGGACGGGCCCAAAAGGCAGUGGCGGCACCAUGUCUGGUCCUCGAGCGUAUGGGGCUUUGUCACCCGCUCCCGUAGGUCCAGCUGGCAGCUAGCCUCGCAACCAAUCUUUUUAACCAGGUUGACCUCGGAUCAGGUAGGGAUACCCGCUGAACUUAAGC